rnacentral:rRNA from 1 species
CAAUAGCGUAUAUUUAAGUUGUUGCAGUUAAAAAGCUCGUAGUUGGAUUUCGGGUAGGAUUUGCCGGUCCGUCUUUGAGAUGUGUACUGGUAAGUCCUAUCUUCUUGUCGGGGACCAGCUCCUGGGCUUCACUGUCCGGGACUGGGAGCCGACGAAGUUACUUUGAGUAAAUUAGAGUGUUCAAAGCAAGCCUACGCUCUGAAUAUAUUAGCAUGGAAUAACACGAUAGGACUCUGGCUUAUCUUGUUGGUCUGUGAGACCAGAGUAAUGAUUAAGAGGGACAGUCGGGGACAUUCGUAUUUCAUUGUCAGAGGUGAAAUUCUUGGAUUUAUGAAAGACGAACUACUGCGAAAGCAUUUACCAAGGAUGUUUUCAUUAA